rnacentral:tRNA from 1 species
GUCCCAGUGGCUAAUGGAAAAGGCACCGGCCUCCUAAACCAGGGAUUGUGAGUUCAAGUCCCACCUGGAGUA